CAAUAGCGGAGGAAAAGAAACCAACAGGGAUUGCCCUAGUAACGGCGAGUGAAGCGGCAACAGCUCAAAUUUGAAAGCUAGCCUUCGGGUUCGCAUUGUAAUUUGUAGAGGAUGCUUUGGGUAAAACGCCAGUCUAAGUUCCUUGGAACAGGACGUCAUAGAGGGUGAGAAUCCCGUAUGUGACUGGAAAUGUUAACCUAUGUAAAGCUCCUUCGACGAGUCGAGUUGUUUGGGAAUGCAGCUCUAAAUGGGAGGUAAAUUUCUUCUAAAGCUAAAUAUUGGCGAGAGACCGAUAGCGCACAAGUAGAGUGAUCGAAAGAUGAAAAGCACUUUGGAAAGAGAGUUAAAAAGCACGUGAAAUUGUUGAAAGGGAAGCGCUUGCAAUCAGACUUGUUUAAACUGUUCGGCCGGUCUUCUGACCGGUUUACUCAGUUUGGACAGGCCAGCAUCAGUUUCGGCGGCCGGAUAAAGGCUCUGGGAAUGUGGCCUCCACUUCGGUGGAGGUGUUAUAGCCCAGUGUGUAAUACGGCCAGCCGGGACUGAGGUCCGCGCUUCGGCUAGGAUGCUGGCGUAAUGGUUGUAAGCGACCCGUCUUGAACA
rnacentral:rRNA from 1 species